rnacentral:tRNA from 1 species
GCCCGGGUGGCUCAGUCAGUUGAGCAUCUGACUUUGGCUCAGGUCACCGUCUCACGGUUUGUGGGUUCGAGCCCCAUGUCGGGCU